UACGGGGGGGGCAAGCGUUGUUCGGAAUUACUGGGCGUAAAGGGCUCGUAGGCGGCCAACUAAGUCAGACGUGAAAUCCCUCGGCUUAACCGGGGAACUGCGUCUGAUACUGGAUGGCUUGAGUUUGGGAGAGGGAUGCGGAAUUCCAGGUGUAGCGGUGAAAUGCGUAGAUAUCAGGAGGAACACCAAUGGCGAAGGCAGCUCGCUGGAACGGUACUGACGCUGUGGCGCGAAAGCGUGGGGAGCGAACAGG
rnacentral:rRNA from 1 species